CCUACGGGAGGCAGCAGUGAGGAAUAUUGGACAAUGGGCGCAAGCCUGAUCCAGCCAUGCCGCGUGCAGGAAGACGGUCCUAUGGAUUGUAAACUGCUUUUGUACAGGAAGAAACACUCCCUCGUGAGGGAGCUUGACGGUACUGUAAGAAUAAGGAUCGGCUAACUCCGUGCCAGCAGCCGCGGUAAUACGGAGGAUCCAAGCGUUAUCCGGAAUCAUUGGGUUUAAAGGGUCCGUAGGCGGUUUAAUAAGUCAGUGGUGAAAUCUGGUCGCUCAACGAUCAAACGGCCAUUGAUACUGUUAGACUUGAAUUAUUAGGAAGUAACUAGAAUAUGUAGUGUAGCGGUGAAAUGCUUAGAUAUUACAUGGAAUACCAAUUGCGGAGGCAGGUUACUACUAAUGGAUUGACGCUGAUGGACGAAAGCGUGGGGAGCGAACAGGAUUAGAUACCCUGGUAGUCCACGCCGUAAACGAUGGAUACUAGCUGUUCGGAGCAAUCUGAGUGGCUAAGCGAAAGUGAUAAGUAUCCCACCUGGGGAGUACGUUCGCAAGAAUGAAACUCAAAUGAAAUUGACGGCUGAGACGAGCGACGGACGACGACGAGGGAGGAGG
rnacentral:rRNA from 1 species